CCAAUACUCACCAAACACAACACCCCUUCCUUCUUAUAAUUGUGUAAUGUAAGAACGAUACCCAUUAUCAUUCCAUCACUUCUAAAACAAAAUUCUGAGAUUAUAUCUUGUCCAGGUGAAUAAGCAAACAAAAGUUCUGGAUUUUAUCCUCUUCAAGUGAACAAGCAAAUAAAAUUUCUAAAAUUGCACCUGCGUUUUCUCAUAAAUUCAGAAUUCAUCAAGAGAUUUAGUGGUAUCUCCUCACAAUAGAAACCCCCUAUUUCGAAGAAAGCUUCUUGAAGUUCAAUUUUAAUCUCUACAAUUUAUAUGGAGUAUGGAGCUUAAUGGAAGUUCACCUUAAAUUGUUUUAGAUGUUGUUGAAUUAAAAGAGCCCAUGUAGAUAGUAUAGUGUCUUCUUCAUCAUCAUCCUCCCUGUUCUUUGUGUAGAAAAGCAUGCUUGGAUGAUCCUUUUGAAACGAUUUUAUGCAUAUCUAAGCAUUUACUCAUCGUCUUGGGUGAAGGUGACUAUCUUUUUCCUCCAAUCCUAGGUUCUUACUAUGGGGUAAAACCUUUCUAGAAAAGGUCUUAAUUUCAUCCAUGUGUAAGAGAGUCGGGUUCCAAGCACUUCUACCAAUUUUUGGCGUGGCUCACUAUGCUGACCUAAAACAAGUGCAUUUUAACAUAAUCUCUAAUAUCUUGGCAAGGUGGGUUAAGAUCACAUAUAUUGUGAACUUUUCCUGGUACAAAAGAGGAGAUUCGUUCUUGAAGCCAGAGAGCACUUCUAACUUUACCAUCCGAGUGUAUUACGAAUGAAUCUGGUAGUUAGUGUUCGUGGUUAGAAAAUGGAUUUCUCCCUAACUUGUAUGGUUCCCUGAUGUACCAAAUUGGUAUAUUAGCCAUUUUGUCCUUGUUUUUGGGCUCACUAAUAGAGGUAGAUCCUCUUGUGUGUCUGGAGAAGUAUUAAUAUCCUCUUUGUUCUCUA